rnacentral:rRNA from 2 species
AUAACGACUCUCGGCAACGGAUAUCUCGGCUCUCGCAUCGAUGAAGAACGUAGCGAAAUGCGAUACUUGGUGUGAAUUGCAGAAUCCCGUGAACCAUCGAGUCUUUGAACGCAAGUUGCGCCCCAAGCCUUCUGGCCGAGGGCACGUCUGCC